GGACCUACGGGGGGCAGCAGUGGGGAAUAUUGCACAAUGGGGGAAACCCUGAUGCAGCGACGCCGCGUGAGCGAAGAAGUAUCUCGGUAUGUAAAGCUCUAUCAGCAGGGAAGAAAAUGACGGUACCUGACUAAGAAGCCCCGGCUAACUACGUGCCAGCAGCCGCGGUAAUACGUAGGGGGCAAGCGUUAUCCGGAUUUACUGGGUGUAAAGGGAGCGUAGACGGCAGUGCAAGUCCGGAGUGAAAGCCCGGGGCUCAACCCUGGGACUGCUCUGGAAACUGUAAAGAUGG
rnacentral:rRNA from 1 species